rnacentral:rRNA from 1 species
AGGUAAAGGCUUACCAAGCCGAAGAUCCUUAGUUGAUUCCUGAGAGGAUGAUCAACCACAAUGGGACUGAGACACGGCCCCAUCCUCCAGCAGGAGGCAGCAGUGGGGAAUAUUGGACAAUGGGCGAAAGCCUGAUCCAGCAAUAUCGCGUGAAUGAUGUUUAAUCAAAAAAAACUUAGGUUCAAAUGACCAUAAAAUUCUUUCAUCAAGGACUAUAAUGACUGUACUUGAAGAAGAAGUCCCGGCCAACCUCGUGCCAGCAGCCGCGGUAAUACGAGGGGGACUAGCGUUAUUCUUCAUGACUGGGCGUAAAGGGUGUGUAGGCUGUCUAUUCCGUUGAAAUUAAAAACCAAAGUUUAACUUUGGAAAAGGUUUUAAAACUAAUAUGACUGGAGUGUCACAGAGGAUAGUGGAAUUUUUAGAGGAGUGAUAGAAUAUAAAG